CGGGUUUGUUAUUUUAAUGAAAAAGUACAAGGCGCUAGAUGAAAAAAGGGGGCGGGAUUCCAAUUUUCCAGUUCUUUGAUAUUGAAAUUUCUUUCACCUUUCCCUCAAAAAAUUCUUCACCCUAAGUCAGAAUAUCGCAAAUGUCGAUACCCACCAUUGCUUCCCCAUCUUCUCCUCUGGUGACUGCAUCUCCCUAUUCGACGCCGUCUGGCUCUCCUUUCCAUCUCCAACUUCAUAUCUUCCUUUCUUUUAAAACUUAGGGGUUUCUGCUAUUUGGUUCAAGUUAUGAAUUUCUAGGGUUCUUUCUGGAAUUGAACAAGAAGAGAAAAUUUUGGCGAUCUGCUCUAGUGCAAAUUCAAGCGACCGCAAUUGAACGUUGUUCACUAGAAGGUGAUGACAAUGGAAAUUACUUGACCGUCUUCCUCCCAAACCCCCCUUCUUUUGAGAUUAAACAUCACGAGGUUGAAAUUCUAAAGAAAUGGUUGGACAGGUCAACCCGAAGAAUACCUGGACCGAGUUUUUUACUAUGAUGCAGUGAUGAAUGAGGAAGCUUCAAAUGUUAAGGGACUUCGGUGGAAAAAAUUAAGCCAAGUGAAUGACAUCUUUAUUUACUUUAUUUUGCUAGAUGAAUAAACAUUUGAUUAGUUAUUUAUUUGUAUUUUUUGAAUUUGUGAGGUUUAGAAACUUGCUAAUGCAAGAGGAUGUAAUGAUGAAUUAUUAUUUUUGAAAUAACAGAAUUCAAUCAAUAUUUGUUCCUUAA